ACAUGACUCUCGGCAACGGAUAUCUCGGCUCUCGCAUCGAUGAAGAACGUAGCGAAAUGCGAUACCUGGUGUGAAUUGCAGAAUCCCGCGAACCAUCGAGUCUUUGAACGCAAGUUGCGCCCGAGGCCAUCGGGCCGAGGGCACGCCUGCCUGGGCGUCACGC
rnacentral:rRNA from 1 species